GGUUGGUUAUCCUGUGUGUGUGUGUAAAACUUUCGUCGUUUUAGUGUCUGCAAACAGUGCUUCACUGGUUUCAGAGUAUUAUUUAUUGCUAAGUGCAGCAUAAUUUAUUUGCGCUGUACAGAAGUUGCGUUUGUUCCCGCGCAACCCUGAGUUUCGGUUUCGGGUGACCACGUGACUAGCUUUGUUGUGAUAAGUAGCAUUAAGGCGUGGCUGCUUUUUUUCCACUGAACAGCUCGUAAAAGUUGUUAUUUAUUGGACUUAAUGCUGACGCGGAAGCGGCAGCGGAAGUGGUGGCCCUCGUGUGAAGCCCUCCUUGUGUGAAGACCUACUUGGGUAAAGACCAGCGAGUCUACCUGUGCGAGUCCACCGAGCAAGAACACCGACAAGGCUCCACUCACCAAAGCACUUAAACCGUUCACAAGAUACAGAUGCAAGACAAAACGCAACCCACACAACCUACGGCCGCUUUGCACUUCAACACCUGCUCCACUCUCGUUCUCAGUGGGACUCUGGAACUGCCAGUCUGCUGUGAACAAAGCUGCCUUCAUUCCGGCUUUCGCCACGCAGUCCACCCUCAGCAUCCUGGCACUGACAGAGACAUGGAUACGUCCUGAGGAUACAGCAACACCUGCUGCUCUCUCUAACAACUUCUCCUUCUCCCACACCCCUCGACAUACUGGUAGGGGUGGGGGAACAGGUCAGCUGACAAGCUUUCUUGAGGAAUUGGAUGUCCUGCUGUCCUCCUUGCCAGAGGAUGGCAGGCCACUUGUGGUUCUUGGUGAUUUCAACAUACACCAGGACAAACCCCAGGCCAUUGAACUGAAUACUCUUCUGGCCUCAUUUGACUUGGAAAGACUACACACCACAGCAACUCACAGACCAGCACGGACUACACCACCCAGCCCCUGGCUGUCUGACAUCCUUCGUGAACAUCGGACUGUUCUCAGGGCAGCUGAGAGGAGAUGGCGGAAAUCUAAAGAUCCAGCUGAUCUAGGUAAAUAUCAGCUUCUGCUCGCAACUUUUUCAAAUAACGUUAAAACUGCAAAAACUUCAUAUUACCAGACCAAAAUCAACAGCACCACAGACACUCGUAGCUUGUUUAGAACAUUUAACACACUUCUCUGCC